GGAGUGAGAGAGUACUCAUGUGUGCACAGCAAUCCCCACCCUGAGCAAAACAGAAGCAUGUCUACUUCUCUACAUAUUCAUAAAACCAGAUAAAUAUGACUGAGACAAGCACUCGCUUGAUGGCAGGCCCGGCACCAGGCCUUGGAGACGGAGGCAAAGGUAAACAAGACUCAGUUCCUGCACUCCGAGAUGUUUAAAAUCUGGUCAAAGGUGAAAUUAAGAUACAAUAUAAAAACGCAUCCCAGCUUCUCUAGAGAUGUCGAUUUCAGUGGCUC